rnacentral:lncRNA from 1 species
UCAGAGUCCUAUCAAUGAUUUAGUUCCCUAGAGAAAAUCAGAAAGUAAAAGUGAGAAGAAAAGAAGAGAAAUAUGUUACAAGCUUUAACUGGACUUCAAUUUCAGCUGAAAGAACAAUUAGGAGAAAAGGAGAGAAGACUUCAAAUCAGCCAGGAAAUCAGUGCCCAUAGAACAGAGUUCCACAUGCAGUUUUCAUACAAACCAGUGUUGCAUAGACUUGUCCCAGCAAGACCACAAAUUUAUUCAAGUCAAUUACCAUCCUUUACCAGGCCUGGGGAAAAUGGAAAAUGAAGGAAAAUCACCAAAACCUUAUGCACAAAAGUUUUGCAAACC